AGAAACGUCACUGUUUUGGCGCGCUGGUGUUUGAAAAGCGCUCUUACAUUAGAAAGUCAGAAAAAAUGUCAGAAGAUGAACAUAACAAAUACGACGAUCCAAAUUUAAAAGGGAUUAAUCGUUAUUUUAAUAAUACAACGAUAAAAGGCAGAGCUAAUUAUGCGAUUGCUACAUACGCAUUUGUGUUUUGUUGUUAUGUGUAUUAUAAAUUUAAACCAAGUAAAACUUGUUAAAUCAGUAACGCUUCUUUGAAUUAGAAUAUUAUGAAAAAUUCCAGUAAAAAUAGAAUAAAAUGGUUUCUUUCGAGAGUAAAUUUUAACAAGCUCAUACCACAAAAAGCUGCAAAGAACUUCAGAAAUGUCAGCUUGGGCACAUUAAGUUUCCUAGGGGGCUUUGUGUUUUACAAAACAAUACUUGACAAAUUUGUGUUUGAACCUGUUUGUGACUGUCGUUGUUACGACUGUAAUAAUUUCCAAAAGACCUGUUCACUAACUUUAGAA